rnacentral:rRNA from 2 species
GCGGUAAUACGUAGGUGGCAAGCGUUGUCCGGAUUUAUUGGGCGUAAAGCGAGCGCAGGCGGUUUUUUAAGUCUGAUGUGAAAGCUUUCGGCUCAACCGAAGAAGUGCAUCGGAAACUGGGAAACUUGAGUGCAGAAGAGGACAGUGGAACUCCAUGUGUAGCGGUGAAAUGCGUAGAUAUAUGGAAGAACACCAGUGGCGAAGGCGGCUGUCUGGUCUGUAACUGACGCUGAGGCUCGAAAGUAUGGGUAGCAAACAGGAUUAGAUACCCUGGUAGUCCAUACCGUAAACGAUGAAUGCUAAGUGUUGGAGGGUUUCCGCCCUUCAGUGCUGCAGCUAACGCAUUAAGCAUUCCGCCUGGGGAGUACGGCCGCAAGGCUGAAACUCAAAGGAAUUGACGGGGGCCCGCACAAGCGGUGGAGCAUGUGGUUUAAUUCGAAGCUACGCGAAGAACCUUACCAGGUCUUGACAUACUAUGCAAAUCUAAGAGAUUAGACGUUCCCUUCGGGGACAUGGAUACAGGUGGUGCAUGGUUGUCGUCAGCUCGUGUCGUGAGAUGUUGGGUUAAGUCCCGCAACGAGCGCAACCCUUAUUAUCAGUUGCCAGCAUUAAGUUGGGCACUCUGGUGAGACUGCCGGUGACAAACCGGAGGAAGGUGGGGAUGACGUCAAAUCAUCAUGCCCCUUAUGACCUGGGCUACACACGUGCUACAAUGGAUGGUACAACGAGUUGCGAACUCGCGAGAGUAAGCUAAUCUCUUAAAGCCAUUCUCAGUUCGGAUUGUAGGCUGCAACUCGCCUACAUGAAGUCGGAAUCGCUAGUAAUCGCGGAUCAGCAUGCCGCGGUGAAUACGUUCCCGGGCCUUGUACACACCGCCCGUCACACCAUGAGAGUUUGUAACACCCAAAGUCGGUGGGGUAACCUUUUAGGAACCAGCCCGCCUUAAGUGGAACGGG